CGUUCCGAAACGUAAAAUUGGUUUAGUACUCAUCGUCCCGUACCUGAGGCUUAUCGAGAAUCAAAACAGAGCACAUCUGAAAUCCACAAAUCCGAUGGCAAUCCUCUAUUUAUAUCUUCCAUGCCUCCGGUCGGCAGAUCUGCCGGCGGCGGAAGGGUCGAGGCAGCUUCUGGGCGAUUUCUGAGCAGCGGUUGCGUUUUCUGGCUGUCGCUGCAGCGGUCAUGCCGUUCGAUCAGGCGCGCUGCCGUCGGUUGCCGCAGGCGGACGGGCUCGACGACGGGGCAUUCUUCCAAGGCAGCUAAUCCUUCGUCUUAGUACGCAUUAGCGAGUGUAAUUAGUCCCACCUCGCCAUUCCGGACGGAAUCCGCGCGCUAUAAAAGCGCCCCAUUCGCGGGAUCUCUCGCCGGGUCUGUGUGGCGCAGGCCUGUAACUCCAGCUACACGGAGCCUCGCCGGCUCCGUGAACGGAGGGUAGAGUUGGCGCGGGUAAGGCUCGGCCCGUGAGUGGCGCGCCGCCGGUAAUCCAACCGCGGUUGUGGGGUCGAGCUCGGGUCGCUGUGUUGUUGCGCUUGAGCCCAGGGAGACGCGGUUAGCGGCUGCCGCCCCGCUAUGGGGUGGCAUGGCCGCCGGGUCACCGGCGGCGAGCCCGUGUACUAGUAUAGCGCGCCUUGCCUUUGGGCUUUCUCCCUUAUUAUAAAUAAAGGGGAGAACCUUGGGUUCGCGCGCACACUCGGCCCCUCUCGCCAGCUCUUUUUUGCAGUUCCGCCAUUACAUUCAGUUCUCAAACAAUUGCGUUCAUUCAAAAGUUUCUGAAGAAUAUCUUAUGGCAUGACAUGCAUUGCUCAAGUUUUCCGUUCAUGCAGAAGUUGUCCUGGCUAAUAACUUCUCUUUGGGGUGCGCUAGGGCCAGUAACCUUCUUACUGCAGUCUGCAGAAAGAGGAACACGAAAUUGGGUGCUUAUUCUUUCAAGCUCAAAAUUAUCUGCCCUGUCUUCUUCCAUUGAAUUGUCUUACUUAGUAGUACUAUUGAGUCUGCAACACUGGUCGCUGGGAUCCUGGUCAUGUUUGCAGGGACAAUUGAACAUUAGUACCGGAUGAGAUUUAUAGCUUCUUGAUCAACAUUAACUUCCAUCUAACCUUAGCUGACUUCUUUUUUGAGUAAUAAACCUUAGCUGACUUUCGGUUGAUGAUCUUUACGAUUUUUGAUCAUGGAAAAGGUUCUAUUCACUCGCUGUUAAACGCCGCAGGUUAAUUACUGAGGCGCGUAGCAUGGCUUACAUAAUAACCUGCGGCGUAGCAUGGGUUCACUUCAUGCUUAAAGAUGAUGAUGACUAGAUGAUGAUGACUGAAGCAUGUGGGAGCAAUGCAUGGUAAACUCAAGCAACUGAUGACGAAAAGACAUGAAAAAUUGAGAGUUUUGAUGAAAUAUAAUAACUACCACUCGAAGUCUGUAGCUAGAUGCUCAUUGAACCUGUAAUACCGUCAAUGCACGUAGAUGAUUGCCAUGUACUGGAUUUGAAAAGAGUUGAAAUAGGAAUUAUACUUCCAUUGUUGUCUUGUUAUAA